rnacentral:rRNA from 1 species
UACCGGCAGCACGAGUGAUGACCGCUCUUAUUGGGCCUAAAGCGUCCGUAGCUGGCCGCGCAAGUCCAUCGGGAAAUCCGCACGCUUAACGUGCGGGCGUCCGGUGGAAACUGCUCGGCUUGGGACCGGAAGACCAGAGGGGUACGUCCGGGGUAGGAGUGAAAUCCCGUAAUCCUGGACGGACCACCGGUGGCGAAAGCGCCUCUGGAAGACGGAUCCGACGGUGAGGGACGAAAGCUCGGGUCACGAACCGG